CUUGCUAGUAUAGUGGCCCCAGCAUGGCUCCUUGAGCCUGCGAGUACUUGAGUUGCAACAGAGGUGUGUUAACUAUUUCUCAGUAUUGCUACAAAAUCUAAAAUCAGUAAAACACGUGCUUCUAAUAAGGUGGAAUGGACUUCAUUAGAUAAAGUCCACUUAGGCAAGGAGGAGAUUGUAUUGAAAUACCCUCAAGUCUAGUCAGCGAUGC
rnacentral:lncRNA from 1 species